rnacentral:tRNA from 1 species
GCCUGGCUGGCUCAGUCGGUAGAGCAUGCAACUCUUGAUCUCAGGGUUAUGGGUUUGAGCCCCACGUUGGGUG